GGAAAAGAGGGAACGAGGGAGCAAGGGGGCCAGGGGGCGGGCCUAAUGGGGUCUGGUCAGUUUCAGGAACUUCCUGAAGCGAUUUUGAGUUGUGUACCUCCUGGCUUAAGAAGUUUUAAUCUCCCGGGAAAAUGCCACACAACAACGCAGGUGUGCCGGUCUCUCCGGCCUCUCACGCCCACUCUCGGUAGAUGAGUCUGCCAGCUGACCCGAGCAGGUUUUUGAAGCCCAAGUCCCCUAGGUUCUCUCAACCCGGUUUUCUGCACCGUGCUCGAUCUGCUUCACUCGGCCUUCAGGCCUCACUGGAAUCGGCUUCUUAAAAGGUGGUUCCAGCUCGGCCCUUCUUCACACCCGCUGCCAGACACGCUGUGACUGCUCGGCUUUACGUCCUGUGCCUCCCACCAGAUGUAUUUAUUUUAUCUAUGAGUGCUCUAUCUGCAUGUAUGCCUGCACGCCAGAAGCGUCAGAUCCCACUACAGAUGCCUUGAGCCACCGUGUGGUUGCUGGGAAUUGAACCCCGGGACCUCUGGAAGAGCAGCCAGUACUCUUAACAGCUGAGCCAUCUCUCCAGCCCCCUACAUAUGUUGUUUUCCAAGGUGUUGGUGAGACAGCCUGGUACACUGUCCUCUCAUUACGUUUGUUAUGCACCCACCACCCAAGGUCUGCUGGGUAGACGGUACCCCAGCCCCACAGGAGGUACUUUGACAGUAAAUCCUGGGCCUGCCAAGUCGUCUUCGGGGCUAAACGCACUUGCUGUUAUUAUGGCUGGCAGCCCGAGUUUGAUCUCCACAGUCCACUUGAUGGAAGACUCACAGGAGGAGCCCUGGGACCAUCCUCGCAGUCCCUGCCCUCACACACUACACACACACAUUUAAAUAUAAUUUGGGCCUGGCAGUAGUGGCUAAUGCCCUUAAUCUCAGCAUUCGGGGAAGGCACAGGCCAGCCAGGCCUAUAGAGCUAGUUCCAGGACAGCCAAAGCUACACAAAGAAACCUUGUCUCAAAACAAACAAGUAAACCUCAGGACCUGGCGGUGGACCAGCACUUUGGAGAUAGAUCUGCGAUUUCGAGGAUAGCCUGAUCUACAGAGCCAGGGCCAGGACAGGCAAGGCCACACAGAGGAUCCCAGUCUGGAAAAAGACAAGAUUUAUUUAUAAAGUCUGUGUUGGAGAGAUGUGUCGGAGCGCCCUGACUUGCUCUUCACUAGGACCCCCGGGCUCUUUUCCCAGUAUCCACAAUGAGGCUCCAGUUCCGGGGCAUCCGAUGCCCUCUUCGACCUCCACGCGUUCCCCGGUGCUGCACACAUGUGGAACACAGACCGUGGUCAGGUAAAAGUAUCUCUAAACAGUAUAUAAGAUCACUCCACUUCUUUCCCCUCCAAAAGAGACAAUUUUGAUAACACAAUAACCCACGUGGAAGAGAACCAUCGUACAUUUGGCCCUCUAUCGCCCCUAGGCAUUUACACGGCACCUUCACAUUUCCAAAGCAUGGUACCAACAUUUAUUAAUCCUCACAACACCCCUGUGAGGUAGGUCAGCGUGUCCUUUAUAGCAGAGAACUGAGGCAGAAGUCAAGAGAAUCUUGCCCAAACCCGAUUGAGGUCACAAGGGCAGCUGGUGAGGGCCGGACGAGUCCAGAAGCAGGGGCUGUCCGGUCCUGCACUCACCCACCGGUGGACACCCUGUGGGUGCAUUUCUAUCAACGAAGGUCGCGUACAGGAAGGACGGAAAGGACCUUUCGGCCAACAACAGGAGAACCGACCCUGAACAGCACGCGGAAACGUGUCAGUCGGGGAGGACACUGACCAGCACGCCAACGAGGGAAGAGAAGAGAACACAUGCGCUGAGCAAAGGCUGGGCGGGGGGUCACGGCGACCGACCACCGCCUGCGAGGAGGACCCGGCGACCUUCAGACGGUUUGGAAAACUACAGUUUUACAAACUAGGAACCCAUUCCAGGGGUGACCAGCCCAAAUCCCGUGGUUUCCUUCAAGAGAAGAGGACUUGGGAAAAGACAGAGGUGAAGUCCGCCCAACCUAACUUUACUCAGGGAAUGAAGAUCGUGCCAGCUCCCGUCAGAGAGCCAGGGAGUGUGUGACACGGGACCACCACCGGCACUCCGCAUCCCGUCUGCACACCGACUUUUGUCCCCGGGAAUCUACUUCCCUCCCCACACAAGAGCUCUUCCUUCCAGCAGAAGGCUUGCCCUCUGUGCUAGUCAAUAGGCUGUCAGGGUGGCCGUGGUGACCACGGAGGGGCUCGGUGGACAGAUGGCUGCGCCCAACUGGCUGAGCUAGGGACGGGAUCCAGGGCUCUAUGAUGCUCCUGCAUUUCGGAAACGGCAGUGGUCUGCCUCCGUCCUGCUGUCCAGCUGCACCUUCUGGGUGGUGCUCUCCGGUAAAGCGUUCGGUGAACCUGGUUCAGUUGGCCAUUUCAAAAAAAGAAGGGGAGGAAAACAAAAACAAAAAACCUGCACUGUAAAGCAUAAUACUGGAGUAGAUUUAUUAUCGCUACCCCAAAUUCCAGAGCGAUACAAGGAGCAUGGAGUUAAAACGCCGCUGGUAUCGCCGGGCGUUUUACAAUAUUGGUUUAGUCCACGAGUUUAAGGCAAACAUGUAACGCAUCUGCUUUUCUUCAGAGAUCAUAUAAAGCUCACAGAAACUGACCCAAAACUCUACGUUCAUUAAUUCAAAGUAAGUCUCAUUAAGAAGGUUUACACGGAUACAUGAAAAAACGCAGGACACAGGAUACUUAAAAAGAAAAAAGAAAAAAAAAAUCUAGAAAGUCAACCUUUAUCAUGUGUGAACAACGGACUCUGAGAGUCCACACCUUGCCAGCUGUUUCUGUUGUCCCCAGUGAGCUUAGAUGCCUUCUGUUGAAGGCAGCCCUUUUCAACAGAAAAGUGUGGCCUAUGUGUCUCCGUUUAAAACCGCAAGGCAG
rnacentral:lncRNA from 1 species